AAGUAUGUAGCACUGGCAACAACUUCCUCUGUCUGUUGUGUUUCUGCUCGUCAAGACUUACAACUGUUAUAGCAAAUGCAGGUUUUUCUCAAGGUCAGUUAUGCCAUCAUCUUCUCUCUGGUGGUCACCAUUCUCUUCCCCCCUCCAUUAUCUUUCAUACUGAGAUGGAAGAGAAGAUGACUGCUAAUGUACAAGAAGGCGAAGAGCGAAAGUCUUCUUUUUCAAUUGUUGCAGAAGUUCUGACCAAGCAUCGCGCAUCAAGCAAAACAGAUUUUGGUAGUAGUUUUUGUGCACUUGAUAGCAGAUUUUGUGAUAGCACCUGGUUUGGUAGCAGAUUUUGUGAUAGCACUUGGUUUGGUAGUAGAUUUUGUGCACUUGGUUGUGUAAUUUUGUACCAGAUUGUGCUACAGGUUUGGUAGCAGAUUUUGGUUGUGCUACAGGUUUUGGCUAUAUUAUGAGAUCUUGAAAUGUGCUUCAAAUUUUGUGGUGUGGGCUGUCAUUUAGAGAUGCUUCACAUUUAUAUAUAUGGGCUAUUAUUUAUAGAUCCAUUAACAGCAUAAAAGAAAAAAAA
rnacentral:lncRNA from 1 species